GAUGAACGCUAGCGACAGGCUUAACACAUGCAAGUCGAGGGGCAGCACAGGUAGCAAUAUCGGGUGGCGACCGGCGCACGGGUGAGUAACGCGUAUGCAACUUACCUAUCAGAGGGGGAUAACCCGGCGAAAGUCGGACUAAUACCGCAUGAAGCAGGGGUCCCGCAUGGGGGUAUGUGCGAAAGAUGCAUCGCGGAUAGAUAGGCGUGCGUUCCAUUAGGCAGUUGGCGGGGUAACGGCACACCAAACCGACGAUGGAUAGGGGUUCUGAGGGGCAGGUCCCCGACAUUGGUACGGAGACACGGACCAAACUCCUACGGGAGGCAGCAGUGGGGAACAUUAGUCAAGGGUCGAGAGGCUGAACCAGCCAAGUCGCGUGAGGGAUGAAGGUGCUAGGGAUCGUAAUCCUCUUUGAAAAGGGAAUACGGUGCGGGACGUGUCCCGUUUUGUCUGUACCUUAUGAAUAAGGAUCGGCUAACUCCGUG
rnacentral:rRNA from 1 species